rnacentral:rRNA from 1 species
CCUACGGGAGGCUGCAGUGGGGAAUAUUGCGCAAUGGGCGAAAGCCUGACGCAGCGACGCCGCGUGAGGGAUGAAGGUCUUCUGAUCGGAAACCUCUGUCAGCAGGGAAGAACGGUCACUGUGCUAAUCAGCAGUGCAUUGACGGUACCUGCAAAGGAAGCACCGGCUAACUCCGUGCCAGCAGCCGCGAUAAUACGGAGGGGGCGAGCGUUAAUCGGAAUUACUGGGCGUAAAGCGCGCGUAGGCGGUAUGUCAAGUCAAGGGUGAAAUCCCCGCGCUCAACGUGGGAACUGCCUUUGAAACUGGCAAACUGGAGUGUGUGAGAGGAUAGUGGAAUUCCAGGUGUAGGAGUGAAAUCCGUAGAUAUCGGGAGGAACAUCAGUGGCGAAGGCGACUAUCUGGCACAUAACUGACGCUGAGGAGCGAAAGCGUGGGUAGCAAACAGGAUUAGAUACCCCAGUAGUC